GAUGAACGCUAGCUACAGGCUUAACACAUGCAAGUCGAGGGGAAACGACAUCGAAGGCUUGCUUUUGAUGGGCGUCGACCGGCGCACGGGUGAGUAACGCGUAUCCAACCUGCCCAUCACUUGGGAAUAACCUUGCGAAAGUAAGACUAAUACCCAAUGAUAUCCCACGAAGGCAUCGGAAUGGGAUUAAAGAUUUAUCGGUGAUGGAUGGGGAUGCGUCUGAUUAGCUUGUUGGCGGGGUAACGGCCCACCAAGGCAACGAUCAGUAGGGGUUCUGAGAGGAAGGUCCCCCAAAUUGGAACUGAGACACGGUCCAAACUCCUACGGGAGGCAGCAGUGAGGAAUAUUGGUCAAUGGGCGAGAGCCUGAACCAGCCAAGUAGCGUGCAGGAAGACGGCCCUAUGGGUUGUAAACUGCUUUUAUAAGGGAAUAAAGUGGGUCACGUGUGACUUUUUGCAUGUACCUUAUGAAUAAGGACCGGCUAAUUCCGUG
rnacentral:rRNA from 1 species